GGGGGGUGACUCGGGCGGAGCGAGCGGUCUGUAAAACCGUCGGCUCAGCCUACGUUGGUUCGAACCCAACACCUGCCACCA
rnacentral:tRNA from 1 species